UCAAGCGCGAGAAGGGCGUUUGGUGGAUGCCUUGGCAGUAAGAGGCGAUGAAGGACGUGAUACUCUGCGAUAAGCUUUGGGAAGUCGAGAAUAGACGCUAUACCCAAAGAUCUCCGAAUGGGGCAACCCAACUGAUACUUUGUUAUUGUUACACUUUGUGUAAUCAAUAAUGGGGUAAAACAGUUAUUAAUUACCUGAAUACAUAGGGUUUUUAAAGCAAACCUGGGGAACUGAAACAUCUAAGUACCCAGAGGAAAGGAAAUCAAUAGAUACUCCCGUAGUAGUGGCGAGCGAACCGGGACCAGCCGAGCAAUGAAUGUGACUAGAACCAGUUGGAAAGCUGGGCGAUAUGGGUGACAGCCCCGUAUAGGAAGCAUGAUUUGACGUAUUAAGUAGGGCGGAACACGUGAAAUUCUGUCUGAACAUGGGGGGACCACCCUCUAAGGCUAAGUACUCCUUACUGACCGAUAGCGAACCAGUACCGUGAGGGAAAGGUGAAAAGCACCCCGACGAGGGGAGUGAAACAGUUUCUGAAACCGGACGCCUACAAACAGUUGGAGCCUCUUUAUGGGGUGACAGCGUACCUUUUGUAUAAUGGGUCAACGACUUGGUCUUACUAGCAAGCUUAAGCCGAUAGGUGUAGGCGCAGCGAAAGCGAGUCUUAAUAGGGCGAAUGAGUUAGUAGGAUCAGACCCGAAACCGAGUGAUCUAGGCAUGAGCAGGUUGAAGGUAAGGUAACACUUACUGGAGGACCGAACCCACAUCUGUUGAAAAAGAUCGGGAUGACUUGUGCCUAGGGGUGAAAGGCCAAUCAAACUCGGAGAUAGCUGGUUCUCCGCGAAAUCUAUUUAGGUAGAGCGUCGCACGAAUACCUUGGGGGGUAGAGCACUGAAUGGGUAAUGGGGACUCACCGUCUUACUGAUCCUAAUCAAACUCCGAAUACCCAAGAGUAAUAUGCGGCAGACACACUGCGGAUGCUAACGUCCGUAGUGGAGAGGGAAACAACCCUGACCCUCAGCUAAGGCCCCUAAUUCAUGGCUAAGUGGGAAAGCAGGUGGGACGACCAAAACAACCAGGAAGUUGGCUUAGAAGCAGCCAUCUUUUAAAGAUAGCGUAACAGCUCACUGGUCUAAUUUAAGUUAUCCUGCGGCGAAGAUGUACCGGGGCUCAAGCCAUGAGCCGAAGCUAGGGAUGCAAUUUAUUGCAUGGUAGCGGAGCGUUCUGUGAUAUAGAACGCUGCGUCUUUAGUAUCUUAGGAUAUUUUGGACGCAAUGUUCUGACUGUGAAGCCGGCGCGUAAGCGAUCCGGUGGAGUGAUCAGAAGUGAGAAUGUUGACAUGAGUAGCGACAAACAGGGUGAGAGACCCUGUCGCCGAAAGUCCAAGGGUUCCUGCUUAAAGCUAAUCUGAGCAGGGUAAGCCGACCCCUAAGGCGAGGCCGAAAGGCGUAGUCGAUGGGAACCAGUUUAAUAUUACUGGGCCAGGAGAUGGUGACGGAUCGAAAGCGUAGUGACUCCUUAUCGGAUUGAAGUUGCUGCCGGACGGUUCCUGGAAAUAGCCCUCCAUUAGAUCGUACCCUAAACCAACACAGGUGGACUGGUAGAGAAUACCAAGGCGCUUGAGAGAACUACAUUGAAGGAACUCGGCAAAAUGCCUCCGUAAGUUCGCGAGAAGGAGGCCCCAUCAGAAGGCAACUUUUGGUGGGGGGCACAGACCAGGGGGUGGCGACUGUUUACUAAAAACACAGGGCUCUGCGAAGUCGUAAGACGACGUAUAGGGUCUGACGCCUGCCCGGUGCUGGAAGGUUAAGAGGAGGUGUGCAAGCACUGAAUUGAAGCCCCAGUAAACGGCGGCCGUAACUAUAACGGUCCUAAGGUAGCGAAAUUCCUUGUCGGGUAAGUUCCGACCUGCACGAAUGG
rnacentral:rRNA from 1 species